CUGAGAUCGCACUACUGCACUCCAGCCUGGGUGACAGAGUGGGACUCUGUCUCAAAAAAUAAUUUUAAUGAAACCUGCCUCCCAAACAUUAUAUUGCAGCAAUCUUAGAAGAAUGCACCACCUCUGGAAUAGAGAAGCAGUUGGGAAAGAAGUGUUUCAUGUUUCCUACACCUGGGCAACAGGCAGGCCCCUGACAACCACAAGUAAUUCUUUCCUGAGAGCCGGGAUCUUGCAACAGCUUGUCAUUAGUGCUGUUUAGCAUUUAAUUUGCCUUUAGUUAGGUAACAAGCAUUUAUGGAUUACCUGUUAGGAACGAAUGCACAGUAUGGGAACAGAGGGAUGAAUGAGGCACAGACUCUGCUCACAGCCUACUUGGACUAGAAAUAUCUACUCAGGAAAGAAAACUUGAAAGCAGUUAGCAAAUGCAAACCGAUAUACCACUACAGGGAAUCAUCACUCUUUCCGAAUUCAAGGCUCUAACUGCUGGCACACUUCUAAGGAAAAAAGAUAUGCGUUUCUGCAUCCCGUCUCAUGAUGGGAGUGAAGAUAUGCCAGUCACGCCUUCUGUGGGCUAAGGAACGGUCCGGCCUUCUCUUCCUCUGCAGAGUCCGGGCGUGAUGGAGACGCAGGAUGGAGGCAGCCAUCACCCAUUGAAAAACAGCCUGUCUGCCAGAUCUGGUGACCCCCCCCUAAGGUCCUUGGUAAAAACUGAGGCCUAGUUGUGUCCAGGAUGGCAGUGAGCUGGGAUUCAUUCAUGGCAGCCCCCAGGAGAUUGCGUUUUUAAACCAGCCCAAGGCAUGUGGUGGACAUGGAUUGGCAGCACCUACAGAUAACGGGGAAGGCUUUCCAAGGGGCCAAACGGUCCAUAGCAGUUAGGGAAGCGAACGUUAGAAGUGCAGGUCAAGGUCUCAGAGUGAGCAGUGUGGCUGGGCCAGAGAGGGCCUUCCAAGUGCAUAGCCAGUGGAGGCAGCUGGACACAGCUGACAUGACAAGGCAAGGCUGGAUCCGUCAGACUCUGGGAAUGCUCCCAGCCAUCAGGCUUCACGGAGCACUGCUUCUGUGCUAAGUUCCUGAUGCCAAGGAAAGUGAGAGAGACAUGGCCCUGGCCUCAAGAAGCUUUCCCGGCAGAUGGCCGUGUAUCCGGGAUAUGUUAAGGGAGGUGUAAUAUUAACCAAAAGUGGAGCUCUGAGCUCCUACCCUUGGCAGAGGGCUUCUUGGAGUAGAUCAUGCCUGGACUGUGCCCAAGGGCGUCUUGGAGUAGAUCGUGCCUGGAUCGCACUGAAUCAGUGUAAGCUGGGUCAAGUCGGGGAAUGGCAACCCAGGCGGAGGGAAGUGCAUACUUGGGACACGGAGGGCACAGACAAGCCGUGGUUCUCUGGCAGUGAGAUGGGUGCCAGGCCACAAACUGGAUCUGAGAGAUUAUUUCCCCAUCUGGGAACUGCAUGUACUAUGGAUUGUAAAGGGUCAACCUGAGAGACAGAAACAGGGAAAAGGCCCUCAACCAUUCACUUCAGUGUCUGGGGAUGCGUGGACUGGGGAAGAGUCUCUGGCUGGCUCCAAUGCGGUCUCUGCUUCUGCAGAGGGGGCCUUGCUCACACAGUCUUCAGACUUGCAUUCCCAGCUGGUGCCCAGCACCACGAAUAUAUGGGAAGAUAACAACUCUAAAGAGGGAUAAAAUGUAUUUUUUGGUCGGUUUUUAUUUUUCAAACACAUUUAGCAUUCUCUGGUUUUUAAAAAAUGCUUUUAAUAGAGCACAGACUCCUUUCCUCAGUGGUGAGGAGACAGAUUUAAGGGCUGUAGCUCAGACAGUCAGUGCCAGCUAGCAUUCAGGGAUCCAAGUGUGAGAAUCAAAUUGUCGUUUGAUGUGUGGAUUUGGCAAAGGCUCAGCACGCCUUGGAGACGGUGCCCGUGGCCCACACUGGGUGGCAGGUGCUUCUGCCUUGGGCUCUCUGCUCCUGCCGGCCGGGCCUGUCAUCGGCUGAAAAGCCGGCAUCUCCCACACCCAUCAGCUCCUCUCUGGAGCUGAGUCGCUGGACACUGUGACCACACUUAAGAGGCACAGCAUGCUCCUGCUGGGUGGAAUUUUAGGACACCUGGUCUGUGACCUCUUCAUUAUGACAUAAAAGGGACCUUCCCUGCAGUCCCACAAAUAGGAACAGAGCAGCACUGGAGCUGGCGCCCGACUCCCGGCAGGGAAGGGUUCUGUCCUCAUUUGGGCGUAUUCUGUUUCUGCCCACCUGGUGUGUGCCCUCCCUGACUCCUGCCCCAUUUCCAGACCCGGCUCACGCGUACUUCUCACACUAAGCAGUCUCACUGAAGCCACCGCUUGGAAUCUGCGGUGUUUACUGUCUGCCCCGCCCCUUUUGUUUGCCCGUUUGUUAUGGAGGUGUGUGUUUAAACGGGCAAAGCAGCGUGCUGCCAGGGACACCAGGAAAGCCCACUUAGCCAUCAACUGGAGACUCUGACAACUAGAAGAAACCUGGAAGGCCACGUGACAGAUAUGGAGACAGGCUGAGAGAAGGCAAGGGUCAUACAUGCCUGGGUCAUGCAGCCAGCCAGGGACAAAGCCGGGACUUUAGAGCCCAGGUCCUCUGCUCCCUGCCAGGCCUCCUUCCACAAGGACGUGGGCGAUUGCUGAGAGCAGAGCCCCGAGGGAAUGGAAUGGAGGGAACUUGAUUAGAAGGGGGAGAAUACCAAGCACAGGGCCUUGCAGAGCAGGUGCUCCUAAAUGCCCAAGAGAUGCAGGAAGAGAGGGAGAGAUGGGAGUGUCAAGGAAGGGUCUCAGUAGCUCUAUGGGCACCACGUUUCUGGGCUUGGGACAGAGAAAGAAGGGCAGAAGGAAGGGCACCGGAAACACAGCUACACCUAGAUUUGGAAAGCCAGUGACCUCGGAAAGGAUGGUCCGGACAUGGGGAAGACCACGAGCCAGGCUGCACUUGUAGGAAGGACCAGGACCUGAGCCACUGGCAGUAAAGAAAUGUCACUAAGGAAGUGGGGGCAAUGGCAGGAAGUGGGGGUCCAGGGUAAGGAGACAGGAGGCCAGGCUGGGUCUUGUUUGGGAAGAUGCAGCCUCCAUGGGCCAAGCAGGAACAGUAGGAAAACCCUGACGGUGCAGUCCCCACUCUCAGGACGUCCCUGUCUCCAAAGGAAACAGCCACACAACACUGAGGUGGGGCGGUGAGGAAAGCAGGGAUCGCUGGGGAGUGUGGGGGAUGCACUUGUCCAGCAGAGGAGGCAGGGCUGGGCGGCUCAGUUGAGGGAAGUGAUGAUUCUGAGGGCCCUGGCUGGGGUGGCGGCUGCAGAGGGUGGCUCAGAGUGGAGGGGCUGUCCCAGGAGCUGGUGAGCUUACCGGGGACAAGAUGUCCCUUGUCAGGGAUGUCACAGAGGCUGUUCCUCAGCUGGGUCAUGCUGGGUCACCUGACCCAGGGGCCCUCCCUGUCUUAAAAUGCACGUUGUACAAUAAAGAGUGGAAGAGGAUGUCAAUGGGCAGGAAUGGAGCCAAACUCUACGGGAGAACGGAGCUGGCCAGGCAGAGCUGCUGGACACCUGAGGCUCCCUCCUUCCACCACAAACACCACUGCCCCAUGGCCUAGAGAGAACCAUCCUCUGACGUGAGCAGGACAAUGACGAUCACCACUGUGUAAAUCCUGACACUGGACCAGAGGAAUUGACUUACCUGCUUCAGCUCCAGGUGAGCACAGCCAGAACCAUGCUCAGAAGCCAGCACACGAAGGCCUGCAACUGCAGACCCCUAAGAAACCUUGGAGAUGCUCUCAGACAGUGCCCACCUCACUUUGCAGAUGGAGUGACUCACAGCUGGGACAAAGGUCCACUCGCUCUUGCCCCUGCAGUCUACCCACAAAGCAGCCAGGAGAGCUUCUAAAAAUGCAAAGCAGGUGGCGUUCUUCUGAAUAAGCCCUCCCAUGGCUCCCUAUCUUAGUACAAAAGCUGAAAUCUCAUGACCUGUGAGGCCCUCCAGCUGGCUCGCAGCCACCCCUCCAAAACCGAGUGCCUGCCAGCGCAUUGCCCACCCAGCUGCAGCCAGGCCCCCCACUGCUCAGCACCAUCUCCUCAGAGGCCCCCCCAUUCUUCCACGGGCAUGUUCCCUAUCCCCUUAGAGCACGCUUGGGCCUGAACUGAUCUUGGGUUCUGUCGCCUGUCUACCCCACUGGAAUGCAAACUCCACAGAGGCAGGGCUUUCUCUGUCCCCUGCCGCAUCCACAGUGCCGGGAACAGUGCCUGGCAUGGAGCAGGUGCAGUCGAAUGACCGACUCCAUGAAGUGAGGUGAGUCACCCACCACGCAGGGAAGAGUGGACAUGGGUAAACAGGCGCUGCCUGGGCUCCAGGCACACUGACUGCAUCCUGGCUGCUUGACUGAUGUGGUUAAUAAAUUACUAGAAGGCAAGCCCUCUAGGGCACAGCAGACUGGAUACUUGAUUAACCCAGGGUCUGUGUUAAUUCCAGGUGCCAAAAUAAUUUCUAGAAUUUCACCUGAGACCUAGAGGUAGUUCAUUUGAAAAUAAACAUGAUUUUCCAGAAGGCUCGAGCUUUCUCAAGGAAAGCAAUGCCCUGGACUCUCCUUCCACAGGAAAUCAGGAAGACAGGCUUUGGAAUUCCCAGUGGGGAAGCACAGUUGGAGGGGCCGGCCUCGGGCACCACAGUGCGCAACGCUGAACACAGGGCUCCCAGGCAGAGACUGGGAGGUCCCGACACCUGGACCCACAGGUGCACCCGCAUCUCCCAUGCUUUUACCCUUUCUCCUCCACCCCAUUUAUAGAAGUGAUCAGAGGUGAAUGAGGAAAUAGUGGGGGAACUGACCCCCUGGAAAGUCUGAAUUUGAGUGAAAUAAUGGGGAGAAGUGAACCCCUGGAAAGUCUGAAUUCUGCUUCAUCAAAGCCCAACACGGGCCUGUUUCCCUCUGCUGUCAACCCCAGGGAAUGGG
rnacentral:lncRNA from 1 species